CGGCGGAUGGGUGAGUAUCACGUGGGCAACCUGCCUGUAAGAUUGGGAUAACUCGCGGAAACGUGAGCUAAUACCGAAUGAAGUCUUUCACCGCCUGGUGAAAGGAUGAAAGAUGGCUUUUAGCUAUCACUUACAGAUGGGCCCGCGGCGCAUUAGCUAGUUGGUGGGGUAAAGGCCUACCAAGGCGACGAUGCGUAGCCGACCUGAGAGGGUGAUCGGCCACACUGGGACUGAGACACGGCCCAGACUCCUACGGGAGGCAGCAGUAGGGAAUCUUCCGCAAUGGACGAAAGUCUGGCGGAGCAACGCCGCGUGAGUGAUGAAGGUCUUCGGAUCGUAAAACUCUGUUGUCAGGGAAGAACAAGUUGUGUUCUAACAGGACAUGACCUUGACGGUACCUGACCAGAAAGCCCCGGCUAACUACGUGCCAGCAGCCGCGGUAAUACGUAGGGGGCAAGCGUUGUCCGGAAUUAUUGGGCGUAAA
rnacentral:rRNA from 1 species